rnacentral:rRNA from 1 species
CCUCGGAUCAGGUAGGAAUACCCGCUGAACUUAAGCAUAUCAAUAAGCGGAGGAAAAGAAACCAACAGGGAUUGCCCCAGUAACGGCGAGUGAAGCGGCAACAGCUCAAAUUUGAAAUCUGGCCCCCAGGGUCCGAGUUGUAAUUUGUAGAGGAUGCUUUUGGCGCGGUGCCUUCCGAGUUCCCUGGAACGGGACGCCAUAGAGGGUGAGAGCCCCGUCUGGUUGGACACCAAGCCUAUGUAAAGCUCCUUCGACGAGUCGAGUAGUUUGGGAAUGCUGCUCUAAAUGGGAGGUAUAUGUCUUCUAAAGCUAAAUACCGGCCAGAGACCGAUAGCGCACAAGUAGAGUGAUCGAAAGAUGAAAAGCACUUUGAAAAGAGGGUUAAAUAGUACGUGAAAUUGUUGAAAGGGAAGCGUUUGUGACCAGACUUGGGCCCGGUUAAUCAUCCAGCGUUCUCGCUGGUGCACUUUGCCGGCCCAGGCCAGCAUCAGUUCGCGCCGGGGGACAAAGGUUUCGGGAACGUGGCUCCCUCGGGAGUGUUAUAGCCCGUUGCGUAAUACCCUGGCGCGGACUGAGGUUCGCGCUCCGCAAGGAUGCUGGCGUAAUGGUCAUCAGCGACCCGUCUUGAAACACGGACCAAGGAGUCGUCUUCGUAUGCGAGUGUUCGGGUGUCAAACCCCUACGCGUAAUGAAAGUGAACGCAGGUGAGAGCUUCGGCGCAUCAUCGACCGAUCCUGAUGUUCUCGGAUGGAUUUGAGUAAGAGCAUACGGGGCCGGACCCGAAAGAAGGUGAACUAUGCCUGUAUAGGGUGAAGCCAGAGGAAACUCUGGUGGAGGCUCGCAGCGGUUCUGACGUGCAAAUCGAUCGUCAAAUAUGGGCAUGGGGGCGAAAGACUAAUCGAACU